AGAGUUUGAUCCUGGCUCAGAACGAACGCUGGCGGCAUGCCUCAUACAUGCAAGUCGAACGAAGGCUUCGGCCUUAGUGGCGCACGGGUGAGUAGCGCGUGGGAACCUGCCCUGGAGUGGGGGAUAACCGAGGGAAACUUCGGCUAAUACCGCAUGCGCCCGGAGCAAUCCGGGGAAAGAUUUAUCGCUCUAGGAGGGGCCCGCGUCGGAUUAGCUAGUUGGUGGGGUAACGGCCUACCAAGGCAUCGAUCCGUAGCUGGUCUGAGAGGAUGAUCAGCCACACUGGGACUGAGACACGGCCCAGACUCCUACGGGAGGCAGCAGUAGGGAAUAUUGGACAAUGGGCGAAAGCCUGAUCCAGCAAUGCCGCGUGAGUGAGGAAGGCCUUAGGGUUGUAAAGCUCUUUCGGCGGGGACGAUGAUGACGGUACCCGCAGAAGAAGCCCCGGCUAACUUCGUGCCAGCAGCCGCGGUAAUACGAAGGGGGCAAGCGUUGUUCGGAAUUACUGGGCGUAAAGGGCGCGUAGGCGGCCAUCUUUGUCAGGCGUGAAAGCCCCGGGCUCAACCUGGGAAUUGCGCUUGGGACGGGGUGGCUUGAGUUCGGGAGAGGAGAGUGGAAUUCCCAGUGUAGAGGUGAAAUUCGUAGAUAUUGGGAAGAACACCGGUGGCGAAGGCGGCUCUCUGGACCGAUACUGACGCUGAGGCGCGAAAGCGUGGGGAGCAAACAGGAUUAGAUACCCUGGUAGUCC
rnacentral:rRNA from 1 species